ACUGGCUCAGGACGAACGCUGGCGGCGUGCCUAAUACAUGCAAGUCGAACGGUCUUUCUAUGGAAGCUUGCUUCCACUGAGAAGAUAGUGGCGAACGGGUGAGUAACACGUGGGUAACCUGCCCAUAAGAGGGGGGAUAACAUCCGGAAACGGGUGCUAAUACCGCAUAGUUUUCUUGAUCGCAUGAUUGAGAAAGGAAAGACGGCCUUUGUGCUGUCGCUUAUGGAUGGACCCGCGGCGUAUUAGUUAGUUGGUGAGGUAACGGCUCACCAAGACGAUGAUACGUAGCCGACCUGAGAGGGUGAUCGGCCACAUUGGGACUGAGACACGGCCCAAACUCCUACGGGAGGCAGCAGUAGGGAAUCUUCCGCAAUGGACGAAAGUCUGACGGAGCAACGCCGCGUGAGUGAAAGAAGGUUUUCGGAUCGUAAAACUCUGUUGUCAGAGAAGAACAAGUUGGAGAGUAACUGCUCCAGCCUUGACGGUAUCUGACCAGAAAGCCACGGCUAACUACGUGCCAGCCGCGGC
rnacentral:rRNA from 1 species